CCAAGAUAUCGCACCUAACCUUAUUGUCAUCAUCCAUCCAUUUGUCAAAUACUAUUCAUUGUUCAACAAUUAGACAGUUUGGCAAAAUAAAAGGAUCUUGGUCUAGUACAUAGCCUAUCUGUUUUAAUUUUAGAACUAUUCUAAGAUUCCUAAGCCAGUCCUUGUAGUUAUUUUUGGUCAAUCGAUUGGUUUCAAGAAUUCAGGAUAAA
rnacentral:lncRNA from 1 species